rnacentral:rRNA from 1 species
AUGCAUCCUCUCAGCCACACGGCCCACCAACACCAUGGCCCUCUCGUCACCAUCUCUUCCACCCCAUCCCCAUCUUCUCCGAUGCCGACCUCGGCAAGCAUGCCGGCGACACAUCUCCUGCCCCCUCCUCUGCGCAUUAGUCCCAGCGCCCAACAUCUCCACACCCCCUCCUCCUCGCCAUCUCCUCCACCCCCUGUCCCGUCUCCUGCCGCUGACCGCCGCCGGCUAUGUGUUGCUUCCUUGGCGGCGGCGUUUCCGCAUACUCCUCCUCCUCCUUCCCCACUGUCACUGAAGCGCCCCAUGUGGAGGUGCUAUGCUUGGCUAGGUCCUUCCCAAUCCUCAUCCCUCCCACCCGUGCCGCCUCCAAAAUUCAUUUUUUUUGUUACCCAGAGUUCAAUUCGUGCGUCCAGGUCGAACUCUCUAGAAGCCAGUCUUGCAGAGUUGCAGUCCAAUAUAAAUCAAAUGGGUAGGCAGAUGGGACUCAAGCUGCUUGCACUACACCUCAAGAGCCACACGCUCGUCACGCCAAUCUGGAGCUGUUCCAAGGAAAGGAGCAGUUCUAUUAACGAUGGAUAUGAUAAUAUGUAUUGGAAAAUGCUCGUCGUCCUGGUAAUUUCGGAGAUCUGGCAUCAGCACAAUCGUCUUAUCUUUCAAAUUUUGUAG